CUACAGGGAGCAUGGCUGGUGCUUUUAGGGUGCAUGUAUGUGUCUGUGCCGCUUUGUGCAAGGUGGGACUGGGUCUAUUUAUUGCUUCUUUCUGGACACAACUGGUUGGAUUUUCAAAAGUGCCACUAAUUUUGCUCAUCAAUCCCUUUUUCCACAUGCCCACUUUGCUGCCGAGCCCAGCCCCGGCCAGCUGCUGUGCACAGCUGCCAUUAGUCCGUGCAAAAGUGGGUACAAGGAACCAGAUGUGCAAGAGAAAUUUCAGCGGCAAAGGAAUCAGGCGAGUUUAGUCCCAUGUUUAUGCAGUGUCUAGAUUUCAUCCUAAUUCCAUUUUGACUGGAAACACAGCACAUCCUGCAGCUGGGAGGCCAGAGCCCUCUUCUAUUCACCUCUGGAGACUCUCUCACCCCUGGGGAUGCUGAUGGACAAGAGCUGGUCCCUCCUGCUGUUACACAGCUGCAGGCACUCUGAAUGCCACCUUCUUUCCAGAAAGCAAGAAAAAUCACAAAUAAACCAUCGUCUACGACUCAGUGGUGGAGAACUAAACUCGGCACGAUGCACUCCAAAAAAAAAUAUCCAAGAACGCAGCCGCAAACAGAUCCCAGCUCCCGGAAGCGUCAGCCGGACAUUCCUACAGGGGUUGGGAGAGGACAGGCCUCUGGGGAGCCACGCUGGGAUCUGGUGACAAAAGAAACUGACUCUGUCCUCGGGGAGCUCAGAUCUGCUGGAGCAAAGCAAUGGCCUUGCUGCAGCCGCUGCCUGCCCAGCACGAACCCCUUAUCUGCUGGCAGCUGCUCUCACAGGCAAGGACAAGUCACAGCAGUAUCUGCAGUUCCGAUCCCGGUGGAGGCUUUUCUCACCUUGCGGAUAUUGGCCCAGAACCUCAAUGACAUUUAGGCUCCUAAAAUCCACUGAUAUCAAAGGAAUAAAUACCUUUGAGGGUCUGGGCCAUCCUGGGCAUGUUGCAGGGGGAGGGGUGAGUGCAGCAGAAUCUCUGUUUAAAUAGGGUUACCAUAUUUCAGCACUGAAAAAAGAGGACACCCCAUGGGGGCCCUGGCCCUGCCCCAACUCCGCCUCUUCCCCACCCCCGGCCCCGCCCCAACUCUGCCCCCUCCUCUGAGCACCCUGCAUUCCCCCUCCUCCCUCCCGCUAUGAUCUUGGUUGGGGGUUGCUAAGUGCUUCCCUGCUCCCCACUCGCCCUGCAGCCUCUGCACCCCCCCCCCCCCCCCCCCCCCCCCCCCCC
rnacentral:lncRNA from 1 species